rnacentral:rRNA from 1 species
GACGAACGCUGGCGGCGUGCCUAAUACAUGCAAGUCGAACGCAGUGGGGACGGGUGAGUAACACGUGGGUAACCUCCCAUCAGAGGGGAUAACACUUGGCAAUAGGUGCUAAACUGAUAUAGAUGGAUGGACCCGCGGUGCACUAGCUAGUUGGUGAGGGAAAGGCUAACCAAGGCCACGAUGCAGAGCCGACCUGAGAGGCGGAUCUGCCACACUGGGACUUAUACACGGCCCAGACGCCUACGGGAGGCAGCAGUAGGGAAUCUUCGGCAAGGGAGGAAAGUCUGAUCGAGGAACGCCGCGUGAGUGAAGAAGGUUUUCGGAUCGUAAAGCUCUGUUGUUAGAGAAGCGGUAUCUAACCAGAAAGCCACGGCUAACUACGUGCCAGCAGCCGCGGUAAUAC